UCCAGUAGUUUAGUGGUUAGAAUUCUCCUUUUUCAAAAAGAAGAAGUGGAGUGUCCGGAGUUCGAACCCCGGCCCCUGUAU
rnacentral:tRNA from 1 species